rnacentral:rRNA from 1 species
GACGAACGCUGGCGGCGUGCUUAACACAUGCAAGUCGAACGGAAAGGCCCUGCGUUCGUGGGGUGCUCGAGGGGCGAACGGGUGAGUAACACGUGAGUAACCUGCCCUAGACUUUGGGAUAACUUCAGGAAACGGGGGCUAAGACCGGAUAGGAGAUGCCGUAGCAUGGAGGGGGUGGGAAAGUCUCGGCGGUUGGGGAUGGACUCGCGGCUUAUCAGCUAGUUGGUUGGGUAGCGGCUGACCAAGGCAUUGACGGGUCGGCGGCCUGUGAGGGUGGCCGGCCACAUUGGGCCUGCGAUACGGCCCAGACUCCUACGGGAGGCAGCAGUGGGAAAUCUUGCCCAAUGGGCGCAAGUCUGAUGCGGCAACGCCGCGGGCGGGAUGCCGGUCUUCGGGUUGUAAACCGCAUUAGCCUGUGACGAAGCGUGAGUGACGGUAAUGGGUAAAGAAGCACCGGCUAACUACGUG